UACGUAGGGUGCAAGCGUUGUCCGGAAUUAUUGGGCGUACAGAGCUCGUAGGCGGUGUGUCGCGUCGGCCGUGAAAACCUGCAGCUUAACUGUGGGCUUGCGGUCGAUACGGGCAUCACUGGAGUUCGGCAGGGGAGACUGGAAUUCCUGGUGUAGCGGUGAAAUGCGCAGAUAUCAGGAGGAACACCGGUGGCGAAGGCGGGUCUCUGGGCCGAUACUGACGCUGAGGAGCGAAAGCGUGGGGAGCGAACAGG
rnacentral:rRNA from 1 species